GUGCUUCCACGGCGCCCCUUGCACUCGAAUGUCAAUCAAAACGGAACUGCCGGAAAACUGAAAUGAAGACAGAAAAUCCGAUGCUGCCUGACCUGUUGAGUUCUACCAGAAUUUUGUGAGUGUUGCUCAAGAUUUCCAGCAUCUGAAGAAGAUCUUGUGUCUCAAUGGCAUUGAAAUUACAGGUGAAAAUUCUGAAGGGCAAAAUACAGUAAUCCAUGAGCAAAAGAAGACCAUAUAGUUUGUGGGAAUAAGUUUACUAUGACUUGUGGUAAUAUGUUGACACCAUGCACCAUGGAGUUGGUGUCUUAUCUGGCAAACUGAUGGAAAAAAUAAAGCAACACUUCAACCCAGCAUGUCAGAAGUACUUGAAAGCUUCGUUCAAUUCAUGUAAUCUGAUACCAGAUUGGUGAUUAUAUUCCACAUCUGAGAGAUUUAAUAAAACAUUGGAAUUUUGCAAUACUCCUAA